UUGGGAGAAAGAGAGAGUGAGAUUACAGAGACAGAGGUACAAGCAGACUUGCCACUGAGCAGAGAGCCUGAUGUGGGGCUUCAUCCUGGGACCCAGAGAUCAAGACCUGAGCCUAAGGUAGAUGUUUAAUUGACUGAGCUGCCCAGGUGCUCCCUGUGACUCUCUUCUUAAUGAUACCCCAAUUUUCAUUUAAUUGGUCACUAUUUCCCCACCCAAUCCACUUAUUUAGGGAAUGGGAAGCUUAAGUCAUCAGCAUAUUGCAUUUUCCUGGCCCCAACAUUGGCUCUUUGCUGCCCAUACAGCCUAAGUGAUCAAAACAGAGCAAACCUUCUAACUUUUGCAUGGGAUUUCUGGGCAAAAGCAUUUUCUCUCAUCCUCUGGACCUAUGAAUGUGGGAUCUGAGCAGUUGUAACAUCUUAGGAUCUGAGGUUGAGAAGACUAAAACAGCCAGAGUUAUGGAAUAAAACCACCUGAUUAUUGUAUUGCCUCUCGAGUCUUCCAGAUAUACAAGCCAAUCAAUUUUUGAUUGUUUAAGCUAACUUAUGUUCAUUUUUCAUUUGCUUACUACCAAAAAUAUUCCAAUAUGGCUCUCUUGUAUAUGGAACAUAAAAAAUUAUGAAAAUUCCUUUGAGAGUAAAGCAUACCUAAGGAAGAAAACCAACAUAUGAUUCGUUCAUUCAAUAAAUAUUUAUUGAGAGUCUAUUAGGUACCAAGCUCCAUUCUAGCCUCUGGUAUACAAUGGCCAAUGAGAUAGAUGGGGACAUGGAUAAUUAAACCACCAAGUACAGUAUGGAGUGGUAACGGUAAGUACGGGCUACUUGUGGGCACAUAAUAAGACCAUAUUAUCUUGUUUAGGAGAUUUAGGGCAGACUUCUCAGCAGGAGGGAAAUUUCUUGUAAGACUUUAAAAAUAAAGCAUGUAUAUGUAUGCACUCAUGCACAUGCACAUUGAGGGAAUUCCCAGCACGCGAAAGAAACAGCAUGUAGAAAGACUCAGAAGUAGGAGUCCAAGGACCUGAAAGAAAUUCAAUCUUGUUAAAGCACAGAUACAGAGAGCUGGAGAGAUUGGUAGUGUGAACCCAAGCAAGAAAAGUAGAAAGGAGUGGAUCAUGCAGAGGACCUAGAGGCCAUGUUAAGGAGUUGAGACUAUCCUGGGAGCAAUAAGAAGGUAUGAAACAGAGGAAUGACAUGAUCUAAUUCACCCUCUUGUUGACCCAAAGGAAGACAUCUGGAAGUAAUGAACUAGCAGGGUGACAGAUUUAAGAUCAGUGGAGGAAGUUAUCAAAAAUGCAGGAGUUAGGAAAUGGGACUAUUAGAAUAAAUUAAAGUACUAUUGUACAGGUUUGACAGAUGAAGUUGGAGAGUGAGCACAAGGAGUAAAAGGGAAACGGUUUGGAAAGAGACACACAAGGAGGGAGGGAAGAGCAGGACAGAGCCACAUAGGGAGGGAGAAAAGGAGUGCUGAGUGGUUAUCCCUGGAGUUCCUGAAAGGAGAGAAACAAGUCAGCUUGUCACCUACAAACUGUCGCUGCGCUGCAAUUUACAGAUUAACACCAAGAUGAAUGCAUUUGAUUUAGAUUGUUGCUAAAGUUAAAAAAUAGAUUUCGCUACCUAGCUCAUUCUCUCCAUUGAAUAGGUAAUUCUUUACAAAUGUAUACGUAUCUACACACAUUGCACAUUAUGUAGAAGAGAGCUGAGAAAACCACUUUAGUUUUAUCACAUUUACAUAGCUACGACAUUGGGUUGUGUUUGUUUUUCUUCUUGUUCUAUUCUAUGGGCUGGGGUUGUAGUAGGAGUGGAGACCUUAGAU
rnacentral:lncRNA from 1 species